rnacentral:lncRNA from 1 species
AUGGUCAACAUAUUUUUCUUGCAAAAUCAGAUGAGGAGCAGAUGUUUUGCACUCAGUACUUCUAGCUGUAUGCUGAGAGAUGAUGAACAGGUGCAGAAGUCAAGCUGCUACUUAGCACUGUAAAAGAAAGCAUUUCUGAGUUGGACAGGAAUUGAGGAAAUAUCUGGGAAUGAUGUCUCCAUUUAAUCAAAUUUAACACUGGAGUGUUGUCAUAGAAGAUGACGCUCACUAUGUUAUUGUAACCAGGUAACGAUGACUUUAUACUGAUAUUCUUUGAUUAUUAGUUGCAUAUAAUGUUAUAUCACUGCUGACUGUGAAAUGGAC